UACGUAGGGGGCAAGCGUUGUCCGGGAUUAUUGGGCGUAAAGAGCGUGUAGGCGGCCAGAUAAGUCCGCUGUGAAAUCUCGAGGCUCAACUUCGAGCUGUCGGUGGAAACUAUCUGGCUAGAGUCCGGAAGAGGAGAAUGGAAUUCCUGGUGUAGCGGUGAAAUGCGCAGAUAUCAGGAAGAACACCCGUGGCGAAGGCGGUUCUCUGGGACGGUACUGACGCUGAGACGCGAAAGCGUGGGGAGCGAACAGG
rnacentral:rRNA from 1 species